rnacentral:snRNA from 1 species
ACACUCUUGGUUCUCUUCAGAUCGCAUAAAUCUUUCGCCUUUUACUAAAGAUUUCCGUGGGGAGGACCAUUAUGAGUAUCAACAAAUUUUUGAUGCCCUGCUUUAUUGCGGGGC